GGCCCGUUCGACUUCUGGUGAGGUUACCGGUCUUUCACGCCGGUCAGGUGGGUUCGAAUCCCACACGGGUCA
rnacentral:tRNA from 1 species